rnacentral:rRNA from 1 species
GACGAACGCUGGCGGCGUGCUUAACACAUGCAAGUCGAACGGAAAGGCCCUGCUUUUGUGGGGUGCUCGAGUGGCGAACGGGUGAGUAACACGUGAGUAACCUGCCCCUGACUUUGGGAUAACUUCAGGAAACUGGGGCUAAUACCGGAUAGGAGCUCCUUCUGCAUGGUGGGGGUUGGAAAGUUUCGGCGGUUGGGGAUGGACUCGCGGCUUAUCAGCUUGUUGGUGGGGUAGUGGCUUACCAAGGCGUUGACGGGUAGCCGGCCUGAGAGGGUGACCGGCCACAUUGGGACUGAGAUACGGCCCAGACUCCUACGGGAGGCAGCAGUGGGGAAUAUUGCACAAUGGGCGGAAGCCUGAUGCAGCAACGCCGCGUGCGGGAUGACGGCCUUCGGGUUGUAAACCGCUUUCGCCAGUGACGAAGCGUGAGUGACGGUAAUGGGUAAAGAAGCACCGGCUAACUACGUG